UACGAAGGGGGCUAGCGUUGCUCGGAAUUACUGGGCGUAAAGGGAGCGUAGGCGGGUCAUCAAGUUGGAGGUGAAAGCCCAGGGCUCAACCUUGGAAUUGCCUUCAAAACUGAUAACCUAGGGGAUGAUAGAGGUAAGUGGAACUCCGAGUGUAGAGGUGAAAUUCGUAGAUAUUCGGAAGAACACCAGUGGCGAAGGCGACUUACUGGAUCAUUACUGACGCUGAGGCUCGAAAGCGUGGGGAGCAAACAGG
rnacentral:rRNA from 1 species